rfam:Triticum aestivum genome assembly, contig: Triticum_aestivum_CS42_TGACv1_scaffold_220888_3B
AACCUUUCUCGGCCUUUUGGCUAAGAUCAAUUUUAGUAUCUGUUCUUAUCAAUUUAAUAUCUGAUAUGUAAGGUACACCCUCAUAACAAUAUUAAAUUUAUUUUUUAUAGGAGAGGGUCCACCACAGUGGCUCGCCCGUGUCUUGCACUACUGCACGGGCUGGCGCACCCCAA